rnacentral:rRNA from 1 species
GUAGGUGGCAAGCGUUGUCCGGAAUUAUUGGGCGUAAAGCGCGCGCAGGCGGUUCUUUAAGUCUGAUGUGAAAGCCCACGGCUCAACCGUGGAGGGUCAUUGGAAACUGGAGGACUUGAGUACAGAAGAGGAAAGCGGAAUUCCACGUGUAGCGGUGAAAUGCGUAGAGAUGUGGAGGAACACCAGUGGCGAAGGCGGCUUUCUGGUCUGUAACUGACGCUGAGGCGCGAAAGCGUGGGGAGCAAACAGGGAUUAGAUACCCUGGUAGUCCACACCGUAAACGAUGAGUGCUAAGUGUUAGGGGGUUUCCGCCCCCUUAGUGCUGCAGCUAACGCAUUAAGCACUCCGCCUGGGGAGUACGGCCGCAAGGCUG